AUUGAACGCUGGCGGCAUGCUUUACACAUGCAAGUCGAACGGCAGCGGGGAGGAGCUUGCUUCUCUGCCGGCGAGUGGCGAACGGGUGAGUAAUACAUCGGAACGUGUCGAGAAGAGGGGGAUAACCACCCGAAAGGGUGGCUAAUACCGCAUAAAUUCUGAGGAAGAAAGCUGGGGACCUAGGAAUAGGCCUAGCGCUUUUUGAGCGGCCGAUGUCGGAUUAGCUAGUUGGUGAGGUAAAGGCUCACCAAGGCGAAGAUCUAUAGCGGGUCUGAGAGGAUGAUCCGCCACACUGGGACUGAGACACGGCCCAGACUCCUACGGGAGGCAGCAGUGGGGAAUUUUGGACAAUGGGGGCAACCCUGAUCCAGCCAUGCCGCGUGUAUGAAGAAGGCCUUAGGGUUGUAAAGUACUUCUGUUAGGGAAGAAAAGUCAGCUGUGAAUAAUGGCUGAUACUGACGGUACCUAAAGAAUAAGCACCGGCUAACUACGUG
rnacentral:rRNA from 1 species